rnacentral:misc_RNA from 1 species
AAGUCGUAACAAGGUAACCGUAGGUGAACCUGCGGUUGGAUCAUUACCAAAUCCAAACCGGUGCCUUGGGUUAGGAGUUGGGGGUUGGGUCGUGCGGGAGGUGGUUGUGUGCCCCUUUCCGGGGUGCGCAGCCCCUCCUUACGCCCGCUUCCUCUCUUCUCUCCCCUGGUGCCUUCCACCCCAUGUGCAAUGUUCUUUUGGAAAAGGGAUGUUGUGCGUGUGCUGCCGCGUCGUAGGACGUGUGCAGUGCGCACACACAGCCCUCCCUCCAUUCACAACCAUGUGCUCUCCAAUCACCUGACGUUUACCCUCGUGGACAGGCGCGCUUGCGUGCAGGCCCAUUAGAGCUUAACGAAAAACAACUUUUGACAACGGAUCUCUUGGCUCUC